rnacentral:rRNA from 1 species
UACGAGGGGGGCAAGCGUUGUUCGGAAUUAUUGGGCGUAAAGGGUGCGUAGGCGGUUCAGCAAGUCUUGUGUGAAAUCUUCGGGCUCAACCCGAAGUCUGCACAGGAAACUACUGGGCUUGAGUAUUGGAGAGGUGAGUGGAAUUUCCGGUGUAGCGGUGAAAUGCGUAGAUAUCGGAAGGAACACCUGUGGCGAAAGCGGCUCACUGGACAAUUACUGACGCUGAUGCACGAAAGCUAGGGGAGCAAACAGG